CCUACGGGAGGCUGCAGUGGGGAAUAUUGCGCAAUGGGCGAAAGCCUGACGCAGCGACGCCGCGUGAGGGAUGAAGGUCUUCGGAGCGUAAACCGCUGUCAGCAGGGAAGAACGGUCACGGUGCUAAGCAGCAGUGAAUUGACGGUACCUGCAAAGCAAGCACCGGCUAACUCCGUGCCAGCAGCCGCGGUAAUACGGAGGGUGCGAGCGUUAAUCGGAAUUCCGGGGAGUAAAGCGCUCGUAGGCGGUAUGUCAAGUAAAGGGUGAAAUCCCCGCUCUCAACGGGGGAACUGCCUUUGAAACUGGCACCCUGGCUUGUGUGUGCGGCUAGUGGCCUUCCCGGUGUCGCGGUGACAUGCGUAGAGUUCGGGAG
rnacentral:rRNA from 1 species